AGUGAGACUGAAAGCUAAUAGGCAGCUGCCAGCAGUGGAGUGACAGGAUAGAGAAACAACUGUAGAGGAGCAAGAGAUGAUGGUGACUCAGACCAAAGUGGAAGCAGUGGAGGAAUCAUGGUAAUUGUCUUGCCCAAAGUAUCUUCCUUUAAUAUGGCAGAAAUAUUAGUGUGAAAGACAGAGGACUCUAAUCAGCAGGAGCAGGAAAUUUAAGAAAAACAGCAAAAGCAGACAUGAAGCGGAGGAACCACAGAGGAGCCAAAUUACAAGCAGUACCUGAAACACAUUCAUCACAGUCAAAAGGAAGUGAAGAGACACAGAAGGGAAGCAAGAUACUGAGAUGCUGCCAAGUAUCCCAGAGUCCAUGAUGGAGUAGAGAUGAAACAAUAGACCCAGGUCAUUCCUCUGCUGGAGGUUCUGAGGCAAGCAGUAGUGCUCUGCAGAUGAACAUUCAUGACAACUUGCCUUUCAACUGGAGGUGUGUGACAGCCAGAAAAAUACCAUCGAGAUAAAGCUUUUUUCUCCUAGAGGAGCAACUGACUCACCGCAGCAUGUUGUUAUGUGGACCUCGAGUCUGUGGACUAGUGGACCUUCACCUCCUUCAGUGUGUGGGUCUGUCCAGGGCUUCCAUCCCUCCAGUAAGAACCCUAACCCACAUUCCUGCAUUUGAUAACUUUGAGUUAAAUCAAGAAAAGCUUGGAAAUUUGGACAUAGUUGUUUAUAAGUCACUCAUAUUAUCUAUUAAAGUCUAAAAAUGUUGUAGUCCCUGAAUUUAGUAGAACAAUGUCUGUAGUGAGAGCAAAAAUCUUUCAGGGAAAGCUUACUCCUCCUGAUCUUCACUCCACAUACUUCACUGAUAUUGGACAACUAACCCUUUAAAAAGGUUUUGCUUGGGCUCCUUCAAAGCCAUGACAAGUACCAAGGUAUAUCAAAGUUCACUAUCCUUUCCAUAUCUUCCAUAAUCCCAGUCACCCUUUCUAUCAGACACAAAGUGGGGGCACAGGCAAUGCCUUAAAGCAUCCUAUCAUCUACACCUAAUUUGGGGCACAUAUCUGAUAAUACUGACUCCUAAACCUUAAUUCUGAAAACCACCAUCUCUCUAUUAAAUGAUCAAGAACAUCCCACACACAACACCGGGCAAUGAUACAUCUUCAUGUAUUUCCUGAAUCUAGGUUAAUUAAUCUACAUGCAGCUUCAUUUGGCCUAGUUUCUUCCACACCUUUACAACCCUGGUAUUCAUAAGGACUCUGAGAAACAGUUAUAAAUAAUUCUUAAAUAUAGACUGUCAAAUUAUCUUUUUCCCAGCCACUUUCUCUGGAAUGCUCCCUCUACAGUCUGGUGUAUUAUGACUUUGUUUGAAGUCUACCAGCUUUAACAGAGCUCAUAUCCCACUGAUGAAGGCAAAAUAUAUGACUCCUAGCUCAUAGCAUCUCUUUUAAUCUUCCUUUCUGUUCCCUGGGCACUGUGACGCUGCUAAAGUUAAAGCUGCAACGGAAACAGGAGAUACAUCCUCAUACAUUUCUGUCCUCACACUCACCUUCUGUCUCAUCCCUGAAUGUUUCAAAUUUCAAAGAUUUUAAUGUGAGUUGAAAUGAAUAAGGCUCUAAUGACUCUAUCAUCUACAUUUAUGUUAGACAAAUAUACAAUGUAAUCUACAUAAAUACGCAUGCGUUCUUAAUGCAUUACCCUAAAGAGAAUAUCACAAAAGAGGAAUUUUAAAAUAAUGUACCUAAAUUCACAGCUAUCUAUCACACUUUACACAUAGGUGAAAUUAUCUGAAAUCACUGUGCAUGUAUAUUUGGGGUCAGAGAGUUUCUGAAAUUUUGAAGCAGAGAAAAUUAUAACAGUAAGGAAUACUUCUGACUAGUCUCCAUUAAUGUUUUUGAAAACUUGCACUUACCAAAAUACGUUUUCUUGCUUUUCAAAGCAAGAAUAUUCAAAUUUUGAAUAUUCAGAGGCUAAUCUACUUACUGACUAUCAUUACCAGCAAUAAAUCAGGUCUAUG